UAUCUCUGUAGAGUCUGCAUAUCAAUAAGCGGAGGAAAAGAAACUAACUAGGAUUCCCUCAGUAACGGCGAGUGAAGCGGGAAGAGCUCAAAUUUGAAAUCUUCAAGGUUCUACCUUGACGAAUUGUAGUUUAAAGAAGUGUUUUCUGUUGGAGUUUUGGUAAAAGUUCUAUGGAAUAGGACAUCAUAGAGGGUGAGAAUCCCGUAUUUGACCAUUACCUCCAGCGUUGUGAUACACUUUCAAAGAGUCGGAUUGUUUGGGAAUGCAGUCCAAAAUGGGUGGUAAAUUUCAUCUAAAGCUAAAUAUUGGCGAGAGACCGAUAGCGAACAAGUACCGUGAGGGAAAGAUGAAAGGAACUUUGAAAAGAGAGUUAAACAGUACGUGAAAUUGUCAAAAGGGAAGCGUUUGACACCAGUGUUGUUUUUCUGAAAAUCAAUUAAAGAACUGUUUAUGCUAAGCUGUUUAGACUUUAUCAGCUAUCUGUUUAGUUUUGAGCUUUUCUUUAAUGCACUUUUCAGUUAACAAGUCAACAUCAAUUUCUUUUGCUGUAAAAAAGCUUGAGGAAGGUGGCUUGAGAUUCGUCUUAAGUGUUUAUAGCCUCUUGCCUAUGCAGUCGGAGAGAUUGAGGUCUGCAGCGUAGAUCCUUCGGGGCUAAAUGCAUUUGUGCUAAGUUAUAGCAUUUUAUAGACAACUUGUUGACUAUGAUUUGUCUUGUAGCUUACUCGCUUAUGUUAUUUUACCUACGCUUAGGAUGUUGACGAUCAGCUGAGCGCG
rnacentral:rRNA from 1 species